rnacentral:rRNA from 1 species
GAACUGUACGAACGUUAUUCGGAAUCACUGGGCUUAAAGGGUGCGUAGGCGGUCCGGCAAGUUGGGUGUGAAAGCCCUCGGCUCAACCGAGGAACUGCGCUCAAAACUGCCGGACUUGAGGGAGACAGAGGUGAGCGGAACUUAGGGUGGAGCGGUGAAAUGCGUUGAUAUCCUAAGGAACACCAGUUGCGAAAGCGGCUCACUGGGUCUCUUCUGACGCUCAGGCACGAAAGCUAGGGGAGCGAACGGGGGAUUAGAUACCCCGGUAGUCCUAGCUGUAAACGAUGAGCACUGGGUUGGAGGCUCCUCCAUAGGCUUCCAGUCGAAGCGAAAGUGCUAAGUGCUCCGCCCUGGGAGUAUGGUCGCAAGGCUG